CCUACGGGAGGCAGCAGUGAGGAAUAUUGGUCAAUGGCCGCAAGGCUGAACCAGCCAUGCCGCGUGAAGGUCAGUGGCCUUUGGGCGUUAAACUUCUUUUGUGCGGGAGCAAUAAUGGUCACGUGUGGCCAGACGAGAGUACCGUACGAAUAAGCAUCGGCUAACUACGUGCCAGCAGCCGCGGUAAUACGGGGGAUGCAAGCGUUAUCCCGGUUUUUUUGGUUUAAAGGGUGCGGCGGAGGGGAGGUAAGUCAGCGGUGAAAUGCCCCCGCUUAACGGGGUGAAGUGCAGUUGAUACUGGCUUGCUUGAAUGCGGACGCGGUGGGAGGAAUGUGUGGUGUAGCGGUGAAAUGCAUAGAUAUCACACAGAACACCGAUUGCGAAGGCAUCUCUCGAAUCCGCGAUUGACGCUGAUGCACGAAAGCGUGGGUAUCAAACAGGAUUAGAUACCCGAGUAGUC
rnacentral:rRNA from 1 species